CAGCCGCCGCGGUAAUACGUAGGUGGCAAGCGUUGUCCGGAAUUGUUGGGCGUAAAGGGCUCGCAGGCGGUUUCUUAAGUCUGAUGUGAAAGCCCCCGGCUCAACCGGGGAGGGUCAUUGGAAACUGGGAAACUUGAGUGCAGAAGAGGAGAGUGGAAUUCCACGUGUAGCGGUGAAAUGCGUAGAGAUGUGGGGGAACACCAGUGGCGAAGGCGACUCUCUGGUCUGUAACUGACGCUGAGGAGCGAAAGCGUGGGGAGCGAACAGGAUUAGAUACCCCCGUAGUCCCUGUCUCUUAUAC
rnacentral:rRNA from 1 species